rnacentral:rRNA from 1 species
GACGAACGCUGGCGGCGUGCUUAACACAUGCCAGUCGAACGGAAAGGCCCUGCUUUUGUGGGGUGCUCGAGUGGCGAACGGGUGAGUAACACGUGAGUAACCUGCCCUUGACUUUGGGAUAACUUCAGGAAACUGGGGCUAAUACCGGAUAGGAGCUCCUGCUGCAUGGUGGGGGUUGGAAAGUUUCGGCGGUUGGGGAUGGACUCGCGGCUUAUCAGCUUGUUGGUGGGGUAGUGGCUUACCAAGGCUUUGACGGGUAGCCGGCCUGAGAGGGUGACCGGCCACAUUGGGACUGAGAUAGGGCCCAGACUGCUACGGGAGGCAGCAGUGGGGAAUAUUGCACAAUGGGCGGAAGCCUGAUGCAGCAACGCCGCGUGCGGGAUGACGGCCUUCGGGUUGUAAACCGCUUUCGCCUGUGACGAAGCGUGAGUGACGGUAAUGGGUAAAGAAGCACCGGCUAACUACGUG